AGUCCAUAGUGAGGACACAUUCUUAACAAAUCCUUAAAUCUCUCCUAUGUAUCAUAAAUAGUCUCAAUAUCAAAUUGAACAAAAGAAGAGAUAUCAUCCCUUAAAUU
rfam:Gossypium hirsutum cultivar TM-1 chromosome 22, whole genome shotgun sequence